rnacentral:rRNA from 1 species
UUACGGCCAUAUCACGUUGAAAAACCGGUUUUCGUACGAUCACCGAAGUUAAGCAACGUCAAGCCUGGUCUGUACCUAGAUAGGUGACCGCUUGGGAAUACUAGGUGCUAUA